rnacentral:lncRNA from 7 species
GCAGAGCCCUGCGCGCGUCCCGUCCCGUCCCGUCCCGCUAGCUCCCGGCACCGCGGCGCUCCCUGACGCGCCGGUGUCAGGAAACAGACGCCCUCCAGAACCGCACAUUAGAAGACGACAACGCGAAGGCGACUACAAACCCCAGAUCCGCGCGAGGACGAAGGCGGCGCCCCGCCCGGCCCCGGGCGCUCCUCAAACAAUCAGGUUCCCGCGGAAUUGUUUGCAUACACAUUUCAUUCACGUGCCAUCUACGUGCCUGCAUUUGGAGAACCAUCCCUAAUUAUUUCAGUACACAAAUCCUAAAACAACUGAAGGAAGGAAAGCACUCGGCCACAACAAUGCACAACAAUGAAAGCUUAUGGUCUACUGAAAGAAUAAAUAGAUAUAUACCCUUUCUCAG